CUAUGGCUGCAGGACACAGUGAUAUACCCUAGGGCCCAGGCCUGCGGCAGUAGAACUUGGCAUACCCCAUUUUAUCCAGCUUCUUUAUGCUGCCUUAACUUUUAAACUGCUUUCAUCUAUUUCUGCAGCUUAGAUGCUGAAGGCCUUUGAAAGAGGAAAGCCCCCAAGUUGGUGAAGUGGCAGAACACCAUCUCCAGGGGAAGCUCUGUGGGGAAGUCUGGGACUGCAAAUGUUGUCUGUCACCUUGUUCAUCAGAUGAUGGGCUGCUGUUGUUCCAGACAUCUUUCAAAUGGUCAAUGGGAUGAUGAGACAAACACCUGUUGGUUUGCAGUCUGUAUAAUCUGCACCAUGCUUGCAGAUGGUGCCCUGCACAGUUCUGUGAGGUCUGAACUCUUCAGUGGCCAUAACCAACUGCAAAAUGCCAUAAAUGGAACAAUAGCAUGACUGGAGCUACCCAGUGUCCUUCAGAUUAACAACUGGCUCUCUUUUUGUCUUUCCUUCCAUGGCAACAAAGAGCCAGGGCUCCUUUGCAAAAGCAAUACAGUCCUUCCCAUGAGACCCUCUCCAUGCUAAGGUAGGUACAAAUCCCCACCUGUUGUUAGGACUGCUAACAUUAUUGACCAAUAAUGAUGAUAAUGAGACAGCUCCUAGAAAUGCAUUAUUAAGAUGAUGGUGUUACCCACAGCAAGUGGUGAUCUCUAGGUUUUAUUACACUAAGGCAGCCUUAAAAUCUUCAAAUCAUUUACAGCUUUAUCGCACUUUUUCAGUGGCUGUUAUUGCUCAGCCAUUCCUCUUUUUCUUCCUGUUGCCUUCUCAGAUGAGCAAAGAUCUUUGAUGAUUCCCUUUUCUCACUCCGUGAAUGAAUCAAACAGCUCAAAAUCCACAGGGCUUUUAAAAAGGAGGAGCACUGGAAGAAGGAGAUUGGUCAGAUAGAACAGACAUGCAUUUGUCUGGAGCUGGAUUGGUCUGGUUUUGUAGUUGACAUUUGUGAGCACAAAAGCAUUACGGAGAAGUAACAAUGGCAUUUUUAGAUUAAAUAGUAGUAGAUAAAAAAAGUUAAUUUUGUACUAAAUACCACUGUAAUAUUAUGUCUUGCAGUAUAUUUCUAACUAUUCUGAAGUGAUAAUCAGUUUUCUUUCCUGUGAAAAGAUCCAUAGUCUAAGGAGACUCUUGAGUGGCAGCCUAGAUAUGAGAAAUGCUAUUUGAAUUAGGCACAGUUUAUGUGCCUAAUAAAAAGGCAUAUACUAUGCUUAUAGUACCUUCCAGAGGCUUUCUCUCACUUUUAGACCUUCUUCACAAAAGCACAUGCAAUAAAAAUGUUGCUGCCACCAGCUUGUAUGCCUGAAAGGUCAAUUCUUUGUUCUAACUUUAUCAGUUUCUUUAAUAAAAGAUAUUAACUGUCUUCACAAACCUGUCUCACAGAGAGAAGAAAAAUAUCCCCAUCUCCAAAGAAAAUAUCAUUUCUAUUUAAUGAUUAAAACAAAUCAGUGUGAGAGAAGACAUAAGGCAGCUACCAGAAAAUUCUGAUGAGUAGCCAGCUAUAAAAGCUUCAGUUUUCUGGCCAUUCUGAAAGUGGUUUUUGUUUUCUUAGUAAAAUUGAGCACAAUAGAAAAAGAAAUCUUUCAAGGCCAUGGUUAAUACAUCAGGAAAAGAAUUCUUCCUUCCUGACAAUCUGGACGAUGCCCUUUUUGAUUCCAGCAGGUGCUACAGCAGCUCAGUGCCAACUCCAUUCCUUCAGCCUGACUCAUGGAACAUCCCCUCUGUAAGGGGAGACCAACACCAAACUCGCAGCUUUCACUGCUGGAAAAGACUGAGGUGACCUUGAGAAGGGACUCCUGGCUUUGUCAGAGGAAACUGAUGGGAGGGUACUGCCUAAGGCCUUGACUAUGAACACACGUCAAAAUCAUAGGAGAUUAUUACCAAUAAGAUCAUUAUAACACUAAUAAUUAAUAAUGAUUAAUAAUAACAAACAACAUUCAUUACAUUUCCAUAAAAUAAAACAACUAUGAUAUUACAAUAGUAAUUAAUAGUAAUAACAAUCAUUAAAUUUCUGUAAAACAUAACUGAUACUACAAUAGUAAUUGCUACUAAUUAACAGUAAAAACCCCACUACGUUUCUAAGAAAUAUAUAAGUAAUUAAUAGUAACAAACAAAAACUAUUAAAUUUCUAUAGAAGUUAACAACUAUGAUCUUACACUAGUAAUUAAUACUAAUUAAUAGUAACAAACAAAAACCAUUGCAAUUCCAUAAAAUGUAACAGUAAUUAAUAGUAACAAACUCCAUAACAUUUCUAUAAAAUGUAACUGUAAUUAAUACUAAUUAAUAGUAACAAACAGAAACCAUUACAUUUCUAUAUAAUCUGGCAGUAAUGAAUAGUAACAAUCAUUACAUUUCUAUAAAUAUAAUUUGGAGAUCAUAAUAAUAAUUAAAUUUCUAUAAAAUAUAAUACUACUAAGAACAAUGCUAAUAAGAUGUUAGUCUAGUGCAGGUACCCAGACCUGUGUUGUUUAUACCGAGUAGAACACAAACCCCAGUUCCAAUUUUGAGCUAGUGCAUUUUUGUUCCAGGUUCAGCAUUUAAAUUCAUCCCCUCUCUGGGUGUGAAUAAUACAAGUUAUCCCUGUAUGACAGGAAGAGCCAAGCCUGUGCAGAGUUCAUUAGCACACUGUGCUCUGCAUGGUCACUGCUUGAUUAUUUGAGGGUGUUUGUGGAAAAUAAGUCUAAAGUUCAGCUUUGGUGGAUGAUCACUCUUUCUGCACCAUUUAAGCAUAUCAUCUCAUUUCUAAUGGUACUGAUUACAAAAAUUCAUGGGCAACCACAGUCAUUUUCUGAAUGGAAGGCCAAGAGAAAUGUGACCCUGUUAUAAAACAAAGCCCAUGCUACAGUGAGCAGUGCUAAUAUGGGCUAAAGGCUUGGGGGGAGGGGGCCUGUUUCCGUGUGUGAUUAAAUGCAUCUCAUUGGUAUAAUGCCUUCCCAUUUAAACAGCUUAAUUUUAAAAUCACCAGAUAAUUGUGUAAUUGUGGUAUUUCUGUUCCCGGUGAUGAAUCAGGGUCUCCUGUCUAAUGGUUCUGUGAAAAUAAAAUUGCCUGAAAGCAGACCCAGCUUUGUUCCGUGAUGUCACUGUGGGGCUCGGAGCUGGGCCCUGGAGCAGGAGAAUUGAGCUGCUUUCUGUGUGGGGCCAAAGACUGCAUACCCUGAGUGAACUCACAGCAGGAAACCUCAAGGCCUUUUUGGGACAGGCCACAUCAUUCCAGAGCCCUGUGUGGAAAAGGAACCAAGCAGUUCCUCCAGCUGCCUUCUGCACUAGAGAGCAACUACUACCUUUCUGCAAAUUUAAAGCUAGACCUGAUGAACAAAAGGAUUUCCAGUCUGUCCCCAGGAUGUUAAAUACACACAGUGUGUCGGUUUGGCCAAAUUUAAAAAUAUAUCCUCUGAGACCAGGCAGGUUACAAACCACCCCUCCCCCACCA